rnacentral:rRNA from 1 species
CCCUUAGAUGUCCUGGGCCGCACGCGCGUUACACUGAUGCAUUCAACGAGCUUAUAACCUUGGCCGAGAGGCCUGGGCAAUCUUGUUAACGUGCAUCGUGAUAGGGAUAGAUUAUUGAAAUUAUUAAUCUUGAACGAGGAAUUCCUAGUAAACGCAGAUCAUCAAUCUGCAUUGAUUACGUCCCUGCCCUUUGUACACACCGCCCGUCGCACCUACCGAUUGGAUGGUCCGAUGAAGCCUCGGGAUUGUGGUUCUUGCCGCUUUAUUGUGGCGUGACCGCGAGAACUUAUCUAAACCUUAUCAUCUAGAGGAAGGUGAAGUCGUAACA